rnacentral:rRNA from 1 species
UACAGAGGGGGCAAGCGUUAUUCGGAAUUAUUGGGCGUAAAGGGCGCGUAGGCGGCCUGGCAAGUGGAAGGUGAAAUCCCUCGGCUUAACCGAGGAACUGCCUCCCAAACUGCUUGGCUUGAGACCGGGAGAGGUGAGUGGAAUUCCCAGUGUAGCGGUGAAAUGCGUAGAUAUCUGGAGGAACACCGGUGGCGAAGGCGGCGUUCUGGACUGCAACUGACACUGAGGAACGAAAGCCAGGGGAGCAAACGGG